AAUUACCCUGAUUGUCAAAAACUACCUCGUAAUCAGAACGGGUUUUUUUUUGAGUUUGUUAAGGAUUCUCUCCAGGCAAAAGUUUCUCUUAUGCAGUUGAAGGUGAAAAUUAAGUCGUUGAAGAGGAAAUAUAAGUCUCUCAAAGAUUAUGAUGUUGUGUUUGACAAACCCAUGGAAGAGGAAUUGUUUCGCCUUUCCGAUAAGGUUUGGAGCCAAGGGAUUGAUAAUCAGGGUAAUGCUGCUAGCAAGGACAAGGAUAUAAGUAUCGAGAUCAAAGAGGAUGGAGUGAUUGAGGACUGUAGGAAGGAUAAGGAUACGAGCAUUGGGAUAAAUGAGGAUGGAGUGAAUGAGGCCGGUAGGAAGGAAAAGGAUACGAGAAUCGGGAUAAAUGGGGAUGGAGUGAAUGAGGACGGUAGGAAGGACAACGAUAUGAGCAUCGGGAUAAAUGGGGAUAUGGUAGAAGCCUCCAGGCUAAUGUGUCGAAGGGGAGGACAUGGAUGCUAUGGAAAUUUAGUUAGGAGGAAAUAUAAAUCAUGCUAACAGGAGCAGAUGAUGAACUUGAUUGCAAUGAAGAACUGAAGUUCCACAACGAGAUGAAGUCGACGAAGGAAGGAACUUGAGAGACAUUUGGCAUCUAAAGAAGCUUCUCUCCCGCAAGAACCAUCACCAGAUGAUGAUAAUGCCGUUAACCUGCUUGUGCGGAUGCCGGAUGGCGGCCGGCAAGGCCGCAGAUUCCUCAAGUCCCACAAGCUUCAGCAUCUUUUUGACUUCAUCGAUGUUGGUCGGUUGGUCAGACCUGGUACUUACAGACUGGCAAGGCCGUAUCCAAGACGGGCUUUUGGUGUUGGUGAGAGCUCAACAACUUUUGAUGAACUUGGCCUGUCUGGCAGACAGGAGGCCUUGUUUCUGGAGUUAAUAUAGCAGAUAUAGUUAUCGUAAAAUUGUAAUAGGAUCUCGAAGAGUUUACCCAGAUGGACCAACUUUGUUUGUUAGUUGUAAAAGUUGUUUAGAGAUGGAUAUUUUGUCAAAGUUUGUAUCUAUUGGGUAUUUGGUCUUUUAGUCAGACUGUGGCUCAUACAGUUUGAAGUUGAUAUCAAAUCUUAGAUGAGAAUGUUUGCAGUUUGAAAUUACUGAACAUUGUUUCUUGAAUUC